UGUGGGAGCUGGCUUGCCAGCGAUGGCGGGCGUUCAGUCAAUGCAGCAGAGACUGACCCACUGCUAUCGCUGGCAAGCCAGCUCCCACA
rnacentral:antisense_RNA from 1 species